ensembl:lncRNA
GCUGCAAGUUCUGCCCUUGUUCUCCACCUCAAUAACAAGAAUCUCUCUCUCUCUCUCCACUUUUAAUCUCUGUUUAACGCCACUCUGACAAAACUCGGGGGAGUUCAGUCUGAUUGGAGAGGAAAGAAAUCAUCAUAAAUAUCUGUCCUGCAGGAGGAAGACGUAUCUUUAAAGCCCCCACCCCUUCUUCCCCUGCUGUCUCUCCAUUAUGACCUUGCUGGCAUCUGAGAGGUCACUGCUCAUACGCAAUAAGUUUCGCUCAGAUUUUACCAACCAACCCAUCUUCAUGAGGUGCCAUGAUCUCUCG